AGGGGCUUCCCACAGAAGGAUAUUCCUGUACACCCAAGGUGUGUGUGUGUGCGUGUGCAUGUGUAUUUGAGAGGGGACCCAAACACAGCAGCCUCUCCCGGCAAGCAGCACUACAGAGACCGAAAGAAAGAGGGCAAAAAGAGGGAGACAGAAAUUGGGCAGUUCCUAAGCCUGUAGAGGAGUAGCCAGGACUCACAGACACUUGCAAAGUCAACUUGAGGCAGAGGUACACAGUAGGAGCUGAACCGAGAACUGGCAUCAACAUCAUCACUGUCAUCAACAUCACAGAGAACUGUCAUCAACCAUCAACAGCAGGCCAGAGAGUCAGAAUGGAAGGCUACAGGUCCAUUCAGCAGGAGAUCAUUUCUCUCAAAGUUUCCAUGGUCCUGCCUAUGAAAGACAAUGAUCCUGAAAUCAAUGGUGGCAUCUGAUGAAGAUGAACCCGCAGUAAGGGAUGUGAAGACUGCUAUCAGAGUUGACCUCAAGUCCCUGCUGCACCUGGAUGCUGCUCCCUCGUCUGAGAGUCUACAAUGAACUCACAGAGGAGAUAGUGACCAAUAUACAACAGGGUCAAUCCACAGAUACCGCAGGAGCCAACCCCUCUCCAGAGAUGGCAGACGACGGGGGUUCUCCUCCAGAAAAUAAGUCUGCCAUGGCUGAGCUUUUUUGGGGGAGUUGUUCACGACCCAGGAGCAGGGAACCAAGGACGACCCAGGAGCAGGGAACCAAGUCAAAGGUCAAGGUCAUAGAGGAGGAGGUGACCUCAUACAGGGAAGUGGACUGUAUUCCCCAGGAUGCUGAUCCACUUACAUGGUGGAAGACUAAAGGGUUAGUAUACCCUCAUGUUGCCAUGUGAGCAAGGCGCUACCUGGCUGUGUCUGGGACCUCUGUCCCUAGCGAGAGGGUUUCCUCCACAGCGGCUGACAUUGUUACAGCAAGCAUUAUCUGUGCUCACUGCAGAUAAUGUGGAUAGACUCAUCUUUAAGAAAAACUUGAAAAUCUGAUAAAAAUAUAUAUUAUUAUUAUAAUUAACUAGUCUCAAGUGGUCCUAUUUUGUUUAGGGCACUGCUAUGUGACUCAAUAUUUCAAUAUGUUGCUGGACUAUACACUCUUUUGUUGUUUUUUAAAUUACAAUUUUAUUGUUUUAUGUUAUAAGGCAGGCACUGCUGUUUUUGAUGUCCCUUUGUUUCCAUAUGCUCCUGGGAACUCAAGCUACCCAUGUUUACUAUUAUAAUAAAUGGAAAAUCUAAAUACAAAUGACAUAUUUCUCAGGCGUUUAUUUUGUCGAUGUAUCGAAACCGUACCGAACCGUGACACCACUGUUCCGUAUCGUACCAAACCGUGACACCACUGUUCCGUAUCGUACCGAACCGUGACACCACUGUUCCGUAUCGUACCGAACCGUGACACCACUGUACCGUAUCGUACCGAACCGUGACACCACUGUUCCGUAUCGUACCGAACCGUGACACCACUGUACCGUAUCGUACCGAACCGUGACACCACUGUUCCGUAUCGUACCGAACCGUGACACCACUCUACCGUAUCGUACCGAACCGUGACACCACUGUUCCGUAUCGUACCGAACCGUGACACCACUCUACCGUAUCGUACCGAACCGUGACACCACUGUACCGUAUCAUACCGAACCGUGAAUUUUGUGAACCGUUUCACCCCCACUUGAUGGGCAUUGACUAAUAACAAUUGAGAUAUCUGAGAGAGACAUGUGAGUGAGAGGUGCUUUGGAGCAUGGUGAUUGGCAGCCAAGAGAAGGGAAUUAUAAUUAUUAUAUUCAGCUCGAGGGCACAACGGCCAGAUUUUGUUUAGGGGGCAUUACGGCAACUCAAGGGGCCAUGGCGUCACACAAGGGGUUUCUUGCAGUGCCUGCUACUGCCUUGCGCAGUAUAUUGUAUUGUUUAU